GGGGGGAGCAAGCGUUGUUCGGAUUUACUGGGCGUAAAGGGCGCGUAGGCGGCCAGCACAAGUCAGUUGUGAAAUCUCCGGGCUUAACUCGGAACGGUCAACUGAUACUGUGCGGCUAGAGUGCAGAAGGGGCAACUGGAAUUCUCGGUGUAGCGGUGAAAUGCGUAGAUAUCGAGAGGAACACCUGCGGCGAAGGCGGGUUGCUGGGCUGACACUGACGCUGAUGCGCGAAAGCCAGGGGAGCGAACGGGAUUAGAUACCCCGGUAGUCCUGGCCUUAAACGAUGGAUGCUUGGUGUCUGGAGUUUUAUAGUCUCCGGGUGCCGUAGCUAACGCGUUAAGCAUCCCGCCUGGGGAGUACGGUCGCAAGACUG
rnacentral:rRNA from 1 species